UUGUUCAGGCUGUGUUGCUUUCA
rnacentral:siRNA from 1 species